rnacentral:rRNA from 1 species
CCUACGGGUGGCAGCAGUGAGGAAUAUUGGUCAAUGGACGGGAGACUGAACCAGCCAAGCAGCGUGAAGGAUGAAGGUACAGAGUAUUGUAAACUUCUUUUAUCAGGGAAUAAACUCUUGCACGCGUGCCCGUUUGUGUGUACCUUAUGAAUAAGCAUCGGCUAACUCCGUGCCAGCAGCCGCGGUAAUACGGAGGAUGCGAGCGUUAUCCGGAUUUAUUGGGUUUAAAGGGUGCGUAGGCGGGUUGUUAAGUCAGCGGGGAAAGGCCGGGGCUCAACCCCCAGAUCGCAGUUGAAACUGGCAGUCUCGAGUAGAGGAGAGGUAGGCGGAAUGCGCGGUGUAGCGGUGAAAUGCUUAGAUAUCGCGAAGAACUCCGAUUGCGAAGGCAGCAUACCGGCUGCCAACUGACGCUGAGGCACGAAAGUGUGGGUAUCGAACAGGAUUAGAUACUCUUGUAGUC